UACGUAGGGUGCGAGCGUUAAUCGGAAUUACUGGGCGUAAAGCGUGCGCAGGCGGUUCGUUGUGUCGGCGGUGAAAGCCCCGGGCUUAACCUGGGAAUGGCCGUCGAAACUGGCGAACUGGAGUGUGGCAGAGGGGGGUGGAAUUCCGCGUGUAGCAGUGAAAUGCGUAGAGAUGCGGAGGAACACCGAUGGCGGAAGGCAGCCCCCUGGGCUGACACUGGACGCCUCGAGGCACGAAAGCGUGGGGAGCAAACAGG
rnacentral:rRNA from 1 species